CAGCUAGCAGGCUGAGCUAGCUACCGGCAGGAUCGAGACAAGAACUCCGGCAAGACCAGAGGAGGAGGACUGGUCAUUUUUGUGCAUAAUGAAUGGAGUACCAACAGCAGGAUCGUUGCCCUGCACUGCUCACCUGACCUGGCGGUAAUAUGCAGACCAUUUUAUUUGCCAAGAGAGUACACUGUAGUGACUGUUACUGCUGUCUACAAACGGUCAACAAACUGCAGCGCGAUCACCCGGAGGGGAUACAUAUUGUAGCAGGGGACUUUAACAAGGUGUCCUUAAAGUCUGUACUCCCCAGCUUUUUCCAGCAUGUCGAUUGUGCUACUAGAGGGAAGAACACACUAGACCAUGUAUACUCUAACAUCAAGAAAGCAUACAGAACAGCGCCUCUCCCUCACCUGGGCCAGUCAGAUCACAUCCAACUACUCCUGAUCCCAGCGUACAGCCCGGUCAGAAGGACUAUACAGCCAAGUAGGAGGACUAUCAAAACCUGGCCUGACACUGCCCUAUCCCAGCUCCAGGACUGCUUCCAAUAAGGACAUGGUUGUGUGCAAUAUGUUACAGAACAGAGCCCUUUGUUUAUUAAUAUGAUUUCAUCUUGCUUGUACUUUUUCCCAAAAG